rnacentral:rRNA from 1 species
GACGAACGCUGGCGGCGUGCCUAACACAUGCAAGUCGAACGAAGCUUAUAGCUGAAAUCCUUCGGGAUGGAAGCUAUAAGACUUAGUGGCGGACGGGUGAGUAACACGUGAGUAACCUGCCCCGGGGAGGGGGAUAACAUACCGAAAGGUAUGCUAAUACCCCAUGAUGUAUAUUUGUCGCAUGGCAGAUAUAUCAAAGAUUUAUCGCCCCGGGAUGGACUCGCGGCCGAUUAGGUAGUUGGUGAGGUAAAGGCUCACCAAGCCCACGAUCGGUAGCCGGACUGAGAGGUUGACCGGCCACAUUGGGACUGAGACACGGCCCAGACUCCUACGGGAGGCAGCAGUGGGGAAUAUUGCACAAUGGGGGAAACCCUGAUGCAGCGACGCCGCGUGAAGGAUGAAGGUUUUCGGAUCGUAAACUUAUGUCUUCGGGGAAGAGAAAGGACGGUACCCGAGGAGGAAGCCACGGCUAACUACGUGCCAGCAGCCGCGGUAAUACGUAGGUGGCAAGCGUUGUCGGAUUUACUGG